rnacentral:lncRNA from 1 species
AACUGCACAAGAACAACAACAACUAGUGUAGCUAACUCUUCAGCAAAUAUACACGAGACUAUAAAUUUGUUAGGGUGACAUAUAAUGUAAAUUAGCAUGGGUCUAGUUUUAGAAAACACUAAUAAGCUAAAAACAACUUUUAGGUAUAAAAAUUAUGAUAUUACGGUGAAAACUCAAGUGAAGUCAACUUCACGUGAAGUUGAUAUCUGAAAGCCGUUAGAUGAAAAUUUAGUCAAAUCAGUCAAAUCAUCUAACAGCUCUCAGAUAUCAACUUCACGUGAAGUCAACUGCACCUGAGUUUCCACCUGAUAUUAUACUUCUCUUAUUCAAAAUGUUUAAACGGAUAAAUUACAUCACAUCACAUGGUAUGAAUUAUGGAAUACUUGAACAGAGAGCCAUUGUUUUUGAAAUGCCCAUCACUGAGAAAGAUGUUGUUAAAUUAUUAGCUUAAAAAAAUUGAAUUGAUAAUUAAAAAUAAUGACUAAAAAAUAAAUUUUAAUGGUCUUUUAAUAUUUUUUUAUACUUGAAAAUGAAUAAAUGGUAGCUGCAAACUUCACCCAAUUUUUUUUUGUGUCUACACAAACACAUCUUUGUUAUCUAACCAAUCAUUUAUUUAUUUAUUUUUUUGGAUUUAUCAUUUAUUUAUUCUAUGUCGACAUAUAUUAUGAACAAUCAAUCCAUUGAUAGGUGAUAGGUGACUGCUAUGGUACUUUUGGUUUUGUUCACUUUUGCCUAAUUUACCAAAAAAAUAAAACAAUUUAAACACCAAAAUAAAAAAAAAAUCAUAGAAUUGGCCCAUUGAUAUUGGACCUGCACUUGUGAUAGUGAACGGUGGUAUGUUGACUCUGAGUCAACAUCUAUUUUUAAUAGAAAAAUAAAAAAUUAUAUACUAUUAAUUUNNN